UAAGAACUCACUUUAACAGCUGCCAUCCAGAUUCAUAUGUAUAAAUAACAGUUCUAAAGUACACAUAGGAUAAUAUAGUAAGUAGAAAGAGUCAAACAUAUGAAAUUGCUCAAAUAACAAUUCUAUAAAAUAAAAAUUCAAGAAAGUUGUUAGCAUUUUGCAUUUCAUGUCUUUGUCAGAUCAUUGUGGAAAUUACCUAUAGCUUUAAGAAAGAGUAGAACUAAUAACCUUAGAAGAAUGCCUGGAUUUAUGAGUCUGUCUUCUGCCAGGUACUCUGUUGAUCGGCAUACUGAUAUGGACCGUAUUUUCGGUAUUCACUCAGAAAAUGGUUCUAUUUUCACUUUGAAAGCCCUUGACCGGGAAUCAUCUCCUUGGCAUAACAUCACUGUUACAGCCACAGAAAUAAAUAACCCAAAACAAAGUAGCCACAUCCCUGUCUUCAUCAGAAUUCUAGAUAUAAAUGACCAUGCUCCGGAAUUUGCCAUGUAUUAUGAAACAUUUGUUUGUGAAAAUGCAAAACCUGGGCAGUUGAUUCAGACUGUCAGUGUCAUGGAUAAGGAUGACCCUCCCCGAGGUCACAAAUUCUUUUUUGAACCAGUGCCAGAAUUUACUCUCAAUCCGAAUUUCACCAUUGUAGAUAAUAAAGAUAAUACAGCAGGAAUCAUGACUCGGAAAGAUGGCUACAGUCGCAACAAAAUGAGCACCUACUUAUUGCCGAUUUUAAUCUUUGACAACGAUUAUCCAAUUCAAAGCAGCACUGGUACACUCACUAUUCGUGUGUGUGCCUGCGAUAAUCAAGGAAACAUGCAAUCCUGUACCGCAGAAGCCCUGAUCCUUUCAGCCGGCCUGAGCACGGGAGCUCUCGUUGCGAUUCUACUCUGUGUCCUCAUACUGCUUAUUUUAGUCGUGUUGUUUGCUGCAUUGAAGAGGCAAAGAAAAAAGGAACCUCUGAUAAUUUCAAAAGACGAUGUCCGGGACAACAUUGUGACCUACAACGAUGAAGGCGGCGGGGAAGAAGAUACCCAAGCUUUUGACAUUGGCACAUUAAGGAAUCCAGAGGCAAGAGAAGACAGUAAACUUAGACGGGAUGUAAUGCCUGAAACUAUUUUUCAGAUAAGGAGGACUGUGCCUCUGUGGGAAAAUAUUGAUGUACAAGAUUUUAUCCAUCGAAGAUUAAAAGAAAACGACGCAGACCCAAGUGCACCGCCAUAUGAUUCGCUGGCAACGUAUGCCUAUGAAGGGAAUGAUUCCAUAGCAGAUUCGCUCAGUUCUUUGGAAUCUCUCACAGCUGAUUGUAACCAAGAUUAUGAUUACCUCAGUGACUGGGGGCCUCGUUUCAAAAAACUUGCCGAUAUGUAUGGGGGUGAUGAUAGUGACCGAGACUAAGAGGAUUGUUUGACUUAAUCAAUAUUAGUGGAAGUACUGUCUAUGUUAUUAGAUUGAGUGGCCUGCAUUCUCUUCCUGGGAGGAAAUCUUUCAAAAAUUGAAGUUACAAACAAUACGUAGGUGUUGUCAAGUAGGGAUUUGCUUAAUCAGUAAGUCUUUGUGAAUGAAUACGAAUGAUACAGAUUUUUUAAAAAGUAAUAACCAGUUCACCCUCUUUGCCUAACAAUCUCGGAAGGAAAAUAUAUCACAUCAAUAAUCAAUAAAAAUAAGUAAAAGGCUUUUUGUGCCUUUUCUUAGGUAUAAUAAUUUAUAAAUGUUUUCUUAACUGACUUUCAGUCACCUUUACAAUUAAACUAAAUAUUGUGCAACCGCUUUGUAAAUUAAUAUGAAGAAGAUAUAUCCCUAAUGAAAUAGGAAUGACUAUUACUGCCAUAUUUAUUUAGUUGAAGA
rnacentral:sRNA from 1 species